CCUACGGGUGGCAGCAGUGAGGAAUAUUGCGCAAUGGGCGAAAGCCUGAAGCAGCGAAGCAGCGUGCGGGAUGAAGGUCUUCGGAUCGUAAACCUCUGUCAGCAGGGAGGAACGGUCCCUGUGCUAAUCAGCAGUGAAUUGACGGUACCUGCAAAGGAAGCACCGGCUAACUCCGUGCCAGCAGCCGCGGUAAUACGGAGGGUGCGAGCGUUAUCCGGAUUUAUUGGGUUGAAAGGGUGCGUAGGCGGACAGUCAAGUCAGCGGUAAAAAUGCGGUGCUCAACGCCGUACAGCCGUUGAAACUGGCAGUCUUGAGUGGGCGAGAAGGAUGCGGAAUGCGUGGUGUAGCGGUGAAAUGCAUAGAUAUCACGCAGAACUCCGAUUGCGAAGGCAGCAUACCGGCGCCCGACUGACGCUGAGGCACGAAAGUGCGGGGAUCGAACAGGAUUAGAUACCCGGGUAGUC
rnacentral:rRNA from 1 species